rnacentral:lncRNA from 1 species
CCCUAAGGACCAUAGCUGUCUGCAGUGCAGGAAGCCAACUAUUAAGGGGAAACAAAAGUGUUCUUAGGAGUCCUGCUGUCACUGUGGAUUGAGCCGGUGAAGCCCUGAGGGAUUUCAUCGCUGAGGUGGAUGGAGAAGCAGCUGGGGGCCUUGGCUGUAAGGACCCCUAAGGGCCUGAUCUUUUGGCCAGAAGGAGAUUAAAAAGAUGCCCCUCAAGAUGGCUGUGCCUGUCAGCUGCAUGGAGCUUCGUUCAAGUAUUUUCUGAGCCUGAUGGAUUUACAGUGAUCUUCAGUGGUCUGGGGAAUAACGCUGGUGGAACCAUGCACUGGAAUGACACACGCCCGGCACAUUUCAGGAUACUAAAAGUGGUUUUAAGGGAGGCUGUGGCUGAAUGCCUCAUGGAUUCUUACAGCUUGGAUGUCCAUGGGGGACGAAGGACUGCAGCUGGCUGAGAGGGUUGAGAUCUCUGUUUACUUAGAUCUCUGCCAACUUCCUUUGGGUCUCCCUAUGGAAUGUAAGACCCCGACUCUUCCUGGUGAAGCAUCUGAUGCACGUUCCAUCCGGCGCUCAGCUGGGCUUGAGAUUCCUGGGAACACCACCAUGGAGGGCCUGGCCUUUGGCGGUGGACAGUCUGUGGCUGGGUGGGAACGUCAGGAGUGGGGCCUGCCUCUUUGCUGGGAAUGCCGUGCACUCCCAGCCCACUUGCCCCAUGCCAGCACUCGAGGCAGGUGAGGCCCAGCCAUGGGUAUAAGGUGCUCCCAGGGCGGGAUUAGCCUCAAGGAGGCAGGGGGUCCAUGUUUCUGCUCCUCUCCCAUUACUAACGGGUGUCUGCUUUAGGUUUGAUCUCCCUCCCUUCUGCCCCUCUCCUGGUAAAGGGAUGAAUAAUGAAGGCCUUCCUUGGGAAGUCUGAGAUGGAUUACCCCAAGGAGGCUCGAACAUGGGAGGACAUGCGAGAACUAUUGUCACAUGAGUUUUCUUUCUAUCCUGUCUGCAGGACUUCGCAGGUGAGCAGUAACGGAAAUCAGCCCCGUUUAUUCCUCCCAGCACCUGCCUUAUCCAACUCCCCACGCUGUGGCUGAGUCCCAGCCUGCUAUGGAAGCAUCACUGGACUCCCAUUGAACUCUGUGCAGAUUCGCUGUUCGUAGACAUGGUACCUGAUGGACACCAAGCUACGUACAGCUUCAAGGCCCCUUCUUUCUUUGCUAAUAAAAAAUAAAA